rnacentral:lncRNA from 1 species
CAGACUGAAGAGAAGAAAGAAGAUUUGGAGGAAUAUGUAUCCAAGAUUGAUGAUGGUGGCUCAGAUCAGUUUUUCUCCCUCCUCUCUCUUUCUUCCUUUUUUUCUUCCUUCACUUUCUUUUUGUCAAGAUAGAGGUUCGAGACCAGCCCAGCCAAUAUGGCAAAACUCCAUCUUUACUAAAAAUACAAAAAUUAGCUGGGCAUGGUGGUGCAUGUGUGUAGUCCCAGCUGCUUGGGAGGCUGAGGCAGGAGAAUCUAUUGAAACCAGGAGGUGGAGGUUGCAGUGUACUGAGAUCGCGCCACUGCACUGCAGUCUGGGUGACAGGGUGAGACUCUUUCUCAAAAAAAAAAAAAAAAAAAGAGAGAGAGAGAGAAAUGUUUUGAUCUUUGAAAUGGGAACCAAAGAUACAAGGUUGGAAUAGACAAAGGUUUUUAAAGAUUCAUAAAGUCAGAAUUUUAUUGUAAAUAAUAAUAUGCUUAUUUUCUUAUCACCUGGAUUCAUAAAUUCUUGGAAGAAACAAUGUUAAAAUAUUUCCUUGAAAAAUAAAAAGCAUGUCCAUGAGUAUGUUACACGUGUUAUUAUCUGAAGAAUUAUUACAUAGUUGCAUCAUGAUGGAAUUAUUUAAUCAUUUGGGACUUUGUUAGACCAACAGUUAUUCUGCACUUCUUUAUUUUUUGAGACCGAAUCUCGCCCCGUCACCCAGGCUGAAAUGUAAUGGCACAAUCUCAGCUCACUGCAACCUCUGCCUUCCAGGUUCAAGCAAUUCUCCUGCCUCAGCCUCCUGAGUAGCUAGGAUUACAGGCAUGUGCCACCAUGCCCGGCUAAUUUUUUGUAUCUUUAGUAGCGAUAGGGUUUCACCAUGUUGGCAAGGCUGAUCUCAAACUCCUGACCUUGUGAUCCAUCUGCCUUGGCCUCCCAAAGUG